GAGUUUGGGGAGAGAGAUUGGUCGUGGGGAGAGUAGGCGUUACUAUCAUCCAUCAUCGUUUGUCGCUGCGCAGGAGAGGAGGAGGAGGCUGUUUUGGGGGUCAUUCAAAUCAAAACCUGAAGGAUGAAUGGUGGCAUUCAAGAAUACAACUUACCAGGCAGAAAAGCAGGGAAAUUGGGAUUGCUAUGACCAUUCGCCAUGCCCCCGCCUGGGCCCAUAAAUUGUGUCCCUCCAUACAUGAAAGACCCUCUUCCACUAGGCUGGAGUGUACCUUUUCCCUUGGCAACCAAAGCACCAGUUUCUGUGACUGACCCUGUUUCACCAGAAAUAUACAGAUUUUUUUUGAUGAGCCAAUUUUCGGUAGAAAAGAAAGCAGCAAGCUGAUAACAGCUGGUUGUUGAUCACAAGCCUCACCAGGAGGUUGACAGCCUUCAGUGUCUUUUGAAAUUCCCCGGAUUUGCAUAGGCGAAAAAACAUUGUCACCUUGAUGAAGCACUUUCCCAGGGGGAGGUGCACCUCUACCUUGACUAGUAGUGCGUACCCACGAAGAGCUAGAUUUUGUAUUCCCAAACUUCUUUCCAGGCGGCGUAGGGCUUCCAUUAACGUGCAGUCUACCCAUGCCAGCUUGUAAAUCCUUUUGUGCCAAGCUAUUGGAGGAACCUGAAGGAUAAAAUGGAGGAGAAGCUGAGUUUAAGCUCGAAGCAACUAUAUUUAUCUUGGCUUCAGUGUCUAUGCUGUCUGUUUCUGUUGGUACACGUCCUGGAUCAACGUGUGACGCUUUUACAAAAGAAUUCUGGGACCUACAGAUCCAGUGACGCUAAAAUUAGAGAUAGAACAUUCGUUGGUAACUAGAGAAAAAAAACAAAACUUAAAAGACUCACUGUUUGGUUUGCAGAGAAGGUGCUUUAGUGCCUUUUCUCAAAGCAACUUCAUGUCGUCUGGGCCCUCUCCCUCUUAUGACAGCUUUAGGAAACUGAUCUUGGUGUCCAUUGUUGGUAACCACUUUAGAAUUGCUCUCUCGAGAAUAUCCACGCUCCUGACCACGUCCUCUGACUCGGCCUCUGGAACUCCUCUUCUAUGUUCACAAAGUUUUAUCAAUCAGCUUGUAAAUUAAAUGGAGAUACAGAAGAAGUGACAAAAACAUUGAGACAGAAAGAGGAAAAAAAAAGUCCAAUAUAUCUAAUGACUAGCAGAGAGAUAGAGGGAGAGAUAACUACAUCAUAUUGGUUUUCUUGUGUAUUCAUCUCGUCAUAUUUGUCAUGUCCCCAUUUUCUUUCAUCUCGGGAUGGCCAGAGCCUCCUACCACCAGGCAUUCGCCUACACAAGCAAAAUCAAGACAAGUAUGAAUGGCUAUAACUAAACAAGAAGAGAAGGGAAGAGCUCGGUCGAGUAUAAAAUAGCUUCUGCUGACAAAUCGGCUAGAUUUAGACGUUACAUAGAUAAAUUUGCAUGAUAUAAUAAUAGUUCCGUUAGAAAACAAAACCAUAUAGUAAGUAAUAGUACCUAUUAGGGGCAGCAUCCAAUUCCUGAAAUCUGUCAUCAUGCAUAUAAAAAGCUCCAGCAGUUGGCACUGCAAAAGGUUCCUUCUGCUUUGGUUCUUCUCCAUCCACAACAACACAGUCCUCCGUUCCCUUAGGCUCAGCCUUGCCAGCAACACUUGUCGUCUUGUAUUCCAUCUUCUCUUCAUCAACUUCUCCAUAAUCACCAUCUUCAUCAUAGCUAUCGUCACCUUCUAUGUCAUCUGCAUCGUUAUCAAACUCCACGACAGCACUCUGUUCAUCGGAAUCGACGUCAGCACUCUGAAUUUCUCCCCGGUUCUCAUCCUCAUCAUCGCUCGCUUCUCUCCUCCUGGUAGCCAAGGAGCGCUUCAGUUCCUCGGGAUCGCUCUCAUAGUCCGCCUCUUCUACCACAUCUGGGCCCAUAAUCCUCCUCUUGAAUCACAGAACCACCCCAGACGAAGAAAUUCAAUUGAGCAAUUAGUGGCAAAAAAAAACUUAAACCUCAGUCGACCAUAACUAAUUGCAGAAGAAUUAUGGAGAACUUUCUUAAGGAAAGAAGAACACCGCUACAGCCCUAACAGACGAUGAUUUGAUGGAGAAAUAGAGAGACGAUACCAGAUAUCAAGGGAAAGUUACGGUUUCACGACGGAGAAGAGAUCCGCACAAGACUCUUUAUUGGUUUCUUCUGCCGAUUGCUUGGGUUUGUGAGACGGAAGGAAGGAGGGUAAUAACUUCUUUCUUUUUAUGUCGAGGGGUAGGUUUCUUGUAACGUAUUCUUAUGAAUGCGCACACUAAAUAUUAUCCAAGUGAUACGUAUGAGGCCACACACCCACCGAUCUUGUAUCAGUACUCUCGCAGGGCCCGUAAGUGAGGAGAGGGAGUGGAGUUCAUUGGCCCAAAGAGCGUUGGUACUUGAGGGCAGGUUCUAGAAGAUGGAUAAGGAAUAAGG